AAAAAAAAACCACCGCUACCAACGGUGGUUUUUCUAAGGUUCUCUGAGCUACCAACUCUUUGAACCAUGGUAGCAGGGUGUACAAGACCGCUGAAACCAAAUUCU
rnacentral:antisense_RNA from 1 species